rnacentral:tRNA from 1 species
GCCUCUGUAGCUUAGUCGGAAAAGCAUCGCUUUCAUGAGGCGAGGAUCGGGGGUUCAAAUCCCCCUGGAGGCA